rnacentral:rRNA from 1 species
AUUGAACGCUGGCGGCAGGCCUAACACAUGCAAGUCGAACGAGUGGCGGACGGGUGAGUAAUGUCUGGGAAACUGCCCGAUGGAGGGGGAUAACUACUGGAAACGGUAGCUAAUACCGCAUACCAGCGGCUGUGCCCAGAUGGGAUUAGCUAGUGGGUGGGGUAACGGCUCACCAAGGCGACGAUCCGUAGCUGGUCUGAGAGGAUGACCAGUCACACUGGAACUGAGACACGGUCCAGACUCCUACGGGAGGCAGCAGUGGGGAAUAUUGCACAAUGGGCGAAAGCCUGAUGCAGCCAUGCCGCGUGUAUGAAGAAGGCCUUCGGGUUGUAAAGUACUUUCAGCGAGGAGGCGUUACUCGCAGAAGAAGCACCGGCUAACUCCGUGCCAGCAGCCGCGGUAAUAC